rnacentral:misc_RNA from 1 species
GUGAAUCAUCGAAUUUUUGAACGCAAAUUGCACUCUCCUCGGAGAGUAUGUCUGUUUGAGGGUCAGCCUAUAAAAAAUAAACAUCGUUGCUGUUUCGCGGUGGCGUUCGUCGGAAAUUGGGUCAUCUUAAAUAUGUCGGCUUUAAGCGACUUAAAAUUUUCUUUUUGGUUCCAUGAUCGUUUAUAAGAUUUAUUUAUUUACACGUUUAAGGUAUCGUUUUUUAU